AGUCAGUGAAGCUGGCUACACUCGUCAGGUAAUUGUGUUUGACUGCUGAAUUUCAACUUCUUAAAAUUUCAUCAGUCGAACACAACCACUUGACUAGUGUAAACUUCUCCUGCACUUGC
rnacentral:precursor_RNA from 14 species